GAUAGUGACAGUAACAGAGGGAUUGAGGGCCCUGCUCAGUGAGUUUACAUGUUAGAGGGAGUGGGGUAUAGUGACACAGUAACAGAGGGAUUGAGGGCCCUGCCCAGCGAGGUUACAUGUUAGAGGGAGUGGGGUAUAGUGACACAGAAGGUAAGGGUAGGGUUGAAAAGUAGGUUACUAGGAUAGUGUUCACUGAGGGCUUAGAGUUUUG